rnacentral:tRNA from 1 species
GUCCGCGUGGCCUAAUGGAUAAGGCGUCUGUCUUCGAAUCAGAAGAUUGCAGGUUCGAAUCCUGUCUCGGACG